UAGGCAGUCUAAUACCUCUUCUCUCCCACCUUUCCUUUGGAGCCUCCCCAAACACGGAGCUAGCUCUGACAGUGCAUAUGUCAACCUCAACAUCCAUGUAAAGUAUACUGCCAAGUUGUCCUGAUGUCUAUCUUGCCAUUGGACCCAGAUGGCUCCAGAAGAGAGAGUGAAGCUGGUGACUUUGCACAGCCCUGGCUCAGUUAAAUUCCAUUUACUUGCAUGUUAUGGCAUCACCUUACUUAUGUCAUGGUCCUCCUUGAUAAGGAAGGACAAACAACAACAGCCUUGUAUGAUGUCCAGAUUUUACAUAUGUGUGUGAAUAUAUAAAUGAAUUCCAACUAAGUUAUUAACUUCA